rnacentral:rRNA from 1 species
AAAAUUUCACACAACGGAUCUCUUGGUUCUGGCAUCGAUGAAGAACGCAGCGAAACGCCAUAACUAAUGUGACUUGCUGAACUCUUUGAAUCAUCGAAUCUUUGAACGCACAUUGCGCCCUCUGGUAUUCCGGGGGGCAUGCCUGUUCGAGCGUCAUUA